UUCUAGGAGGCACGAUCUCAUGGU
rnacentral:piRNA from 1 species